GCCCGCCUAGCUCAAUCGGAUAGAGCGUCAGACUCUUAACUGCGGGCAUCUGAAGGCUGCGAGUUCGACCCUCGCGGUGGGCU